UUUUGCCUUUUGAAGUUACGUUAUUGGUGAGUCAGAUAAGUUGAAAAUGUCGGAUCGUUAUCAAAAUCAAGCGGAUUUAAAAGCUUACUACAUAAACGAGGCCAUUAAGAGAGCUGGCAACCCGAGAAAUGAGGCCGCCAGACAAGCGGCCGUCCAACAGGGUGUUCAAAAUUACUAUGCGUCCAGAAGAUAGGAAACUGCUAGCAGUACGUCCUCUCUGAAGGAUCACAAUCGAAUCAAUGGAAGUGUGUUUCAGUUGAUCUUUGAAAUAAAAAUAAAAUUUUCUUCAGAAA